rnacentral:rRNA from 1 species
UACGGGGGGGGCAAGCGUUGUUCGGAAUUACUGGGCGUAAAGGGCUCGUAGGCGGCCAAUUAAGUCAGACGUGAAAUCCCCAGGCUCAACCUGGGAACUGCGUCUGAUACUGGAUGGCUUGAAUCCGGGAGAGGGAUGCAGAAUUCCAGGUGUAGCGGUGAAAUGCGUAGAUAUCUGGAGGAAUACCGGUGGCGAAGGCGGCAUCCUGGACCGGCAUUGACGCUGAGGAGCGAAAGCCAGGGGAGCAAACGGG